rnacentral:rRNA from 1 species
CCCGCAACGAGCGCAACCCUUGUCAUUAGUUGCCAUCAUUUAGUUGGGCACUCUAAUGAGACUGCCGGUGACAAACCGGAGGAAGGUGGGGAUGACGUCAAGUCCUCAUGGCCCUUAUGAGCAGGGCUUCACACGUCAUACAAUGGUCGGUACAGAGGGUUGCCAAGCCGCGAGGUGGAGCUAAUCUCAGAAAACCGAUCGUAGUCCGGAUCGCACUCUGCAACUCGAGUGCGUGAAGUCGGAAUCGCUAGUAAUC